rnacentral:rRNA from 1 species
UACGUAGGGGGCAAGCGUUGUCCGGAAUCAUUGGGCGUAAAGAGCGUGUAGGCGGUCCGGUAAGUCGGCUGUGAAAGUCCAGGGCUCAACCCUGGGAUGCCGGUCGAUACUGCCGGACUAGAGUUCGGAAGAGGCGAGUGGAAUUCCCGGUGUAGCGGUGAAAUGCGCAGAUAUCGGGAGAAACACCUAUGGCGAAGGCAGCUCGCUGGGACGUUACUGACGCUGAGACGCGAAAGCGUGGGGAGCAAACAGG